UAGGGAAUCUUCCACAAUGGACGCAAGUCUGAUGGAGCAACGCCGCGUGAGUGAAGAAGGUUUUCGGACCGUAAAGCUCUGUUGUUGGUGAAGAAGGAUAGAGGUAGUAACUGGCCUUUAUUUGACGGUAAUCAACCAGAAGGUCACGGCUAACUACGUGCCAGCAGCCGCGGUAAUACGUAGGUGGCAAGCGUUGUCCGGAUUUAUUGGGCGUAAAGCGAGCGCAGGCGGAAGAAUAAGUCUGAUGUGAAAGCCCUCGGCUUAACCGAGGAAUUGCAUCGGAAACUGUUUUUCUUGAGUGCAGAAGAGGAGAGUAGAACUCCAUGUGUAGCGGUGGAAUGCGUAGAUAUAUGGAAGAAUACCAGUGGCGAAGGCGGCUCUCUGGUCUGCAACUGACGCUGAGGCUCGAAAGCAUGGGUAGCGAACAGGAUUAGAUACCCUGGUAGUCCAUGCCGUAAACGAUGAGUGCUAAGUGUUGGGAGGCUUCCGCCUCUCAGUGCUGCAGCUAACGCAUUAAGCACUCCGCCUGGGGGAGUACGACCGCAAGGUUGAAAC
rnacentral:rRNA from 1 species